rnacentral:rRNA from 1 species
UACAGAGGGCGCGAGCGUUGUCCGGAAUCACUGGGCGUAAAGGGCGCGUAGGCGGCCAUUCAAGUCAGGGGUGAAAGCCUGUGGCUCAACCACAGAAUUGCCUUUGAUACUGUUUGGCUAGAGACCGGAAGAGGUAAGUGGAACUGCGAGUGUAGAGGUGAAAUUCGUAGAUAUUCGCAAGAACACCAGUGGCGAAGGCGGCUUACUGGUCCGGUUCUGACGCUGAGGCGCGAAAGCGUGGGGAGCAAACAGG